AUGGUAAAUUUUAUGGAGUACUUCACUGGAGAUAUGUUGUCUGACAUUCCUACACAGGAACAUAUGACAGAUUUUAGAACAAAACUAGCUAUCAUUUUGGUGGACUCAGAAUUGAAUGAUGAUAAUAUAAGAAAUCGAGACAUGGAAGAGGACGAUAACAACACAGAUCCCACAGAAUGUAUGAUUCUGGAUAGACCCCCUGAGAAUUUCAAAAUAUCAAAUACAUCAACAGAAGUUGAGCUCAUCUCACGGUCAUUUAUUCUUUCACCGUCUGUCAACCCAACAAACGAUGAUUUAAUAGAUGAACUUUGCUUGUUCAUCAGUAUGGUUGAUGAUGUCGCUCUACUAGAAAAAGUUGUCUGA
rnacentral:rRNA from 1 species